rnacentral:rRNA from 1 species
GACGAACGCUGGCGGCGUGCUUAACACAUGCAAGUCGAACGGAAAGGCCCUGCUUGCCGGGUGCUCGAGUGGCGAACGGGUGAGUAACACGUGGGUGAUCUGCCCCUUACUUUGGGAUAAGCCUGGGAAACUGGGUCUAAUACUGGAUAGGACCAUGCUGUAGGUGGUGUGGUGGAAAGAUUAGUUUCGGUAAGGGAUGAGCUCGCGGCCUAUCAGCUUGUUGGUGGGGUAAUGGCCUACCAAGGCGUCGACGGGUAGCCGGCCUGAGAGGGUGGACGGCCACAUUGGGACUGAGAUACGGCCCAGACUCCUACGGGAGGCAGCAGUGGGGAAUAUUGCACAGUGGGCGCAAGCCUGAUGCAGCGACGCCGCGUGGGGGAUGACGGCCUUCGGGUUGUAAACUCCUUUCAGCCAUGACGAAGCCCUUGUGGUGACGGUAGUGGUAGAAGAAGCACCGGCUAACUACGUG